UUCUACUAAUUUUUAUUCACGAACAAUUUCAGUAUUAAAUGUACAUCUCUAUUUUCUGCUUUUGUGUCUAUUCUCCAUUCUUUUUCCGAUGAACGGAAAGAGAUAACAACUGUUUUUGUAAACUUUCGGCUUCACCAAUUGGAUUGAAAAUAUCUUUAAUCGAAAUGCGAACUUGUUGACUGAUUAUUAUUAUUUUCUAAACAUUUUAAAGAGACUAAUUUUGGUGCGUAUAAUAAAGUUUUUCAGUAAUUAUUAAUUAUCGCACUCAUCUCAUGUAUAGUUUGUUUAUGACAAAAAAAUUUAGGGCAAAAAUCACCUCCAACCUUAUGCCUUUCAAAUGUAAAGCAAUAGAAUUAAUCACACCUGAGCCUUGAUUUUGACACUUUGUAUGAUCCUCUUGGGCUUGCAUAGCUUUGGAGUUUCUGGAUUGGGAAAAACUAGUUCUGGGUCAAUUCUGUUCAAUUCAAUGGGCCACUUGUUUUUUAAUCUUUAGUUUAUUGAACAUGGAUAUUCAGAUUCCCGAGUCAUCAUUUCCGUGAAAAACCUUCCUUUUAAAUCUACAUUAGCAAUCACAGCUGAAAAGAGAGAUGGGCUCUGGAGAUGGGACUUUCCAUUGGAGUGUGUUUGAUGGCGUGAAGAUUAUGCCAUCAACGCCUGAAGCCCUUAUGGCCGAGAUUAACACAGCCAUUACUAAUCUUGAGUAUGCUCGUGCUACUGCUUACCUUGCCUCUCCAUCUUCCUUGUCAAAGAACUUCAACUCGGAGGAAAGUGUCACUUCACAAUAUGAUGCAAAAAUUGCAGAUGAGGCUUAUAAGGCAGGAUGUGCAGCAUUGGCUGCUGGCAAACUUGAUGAGGCUCUUCUCUCUCUAAACCUUUCUCUUUCCAAAUGCCCACCUGAUAAGACCACUGCAGUUGCUAAGCUUCAGUCUCUCAUUUCUCUAACAUCUCAGCAGCUUCAGAACUCUUCUCACUGAAUUAGCUGGAGAUUCUCUGUGAUGAUCCAUGUGUGGGAGAAGAAAGGGAGGAGAAGAUAUGGCCGGUGACCUUUUCAAAAACCAAUUAAAGUUGGCAUGAGAACCACUAUACACUAUAUGGCAGUAUCUACUUGCUUGCAUUUUACACUUUUCUUUAGUCUUCAGAAUUGGGUGCCAGGGCUAUUCAGCUGGUUGCACUGUUUUAUAUGUGACAGGUUGAAUAAGGGAAAAAGAUUACAUGAUGUAUGAUUCUGGACUGUAAUCAUGAUGUUUGUUGUCCUGGAUCAGCUUCUGUUGUUCACUUACAUUGUCAAUUGCUCUGUGCAUAAUCUUCUUUUGUGAUAUAUAAGUUUAAAUUCACCAAGGAUUGCACAGAGUUUGAAGGUGUUAAAGUAAUAGAGUUGUUUCUCAUGAUGCAAACGCAAUUCUCGUAAUCUCAAGUUUAAGGA